rnacentral:misc_RNA from 1 species
GUACAAGUACCCAUUCUUCAUCAUAAAGAUUUCCCUUACACUGUCUAGUAUAUCAUGGUAGACAAAAAUGUCUAUCACCUGCUCACAUAAAAGUGUACUCUUUCUAACAACGCAGACAAAAGUUUUAAGAUCGAAUCUCACGGCUAUAAUGUACAUGUUUUUUUUGUGCCAAUCCAAUUGAUCGGGCCUAACACAAACACAUGCCUGGGCCUCUCAACACAGAAUAGAGAAACAAUCCAGACCAACAAUAACACUUGCUUGAUUGUUUCUGCUUAAUGGCUGUAUCCUUAUCGAAUUAUAGUAAGCCAUGGUUAUCCUU